rnacentral:lncRNA from 1 species
ACUCCAGGGCUGAUGUCAUGGCGCGAAGCCCGGCGGUGCUGCCCUCCUAGGCCCCGGGAAGGCCGGCCGGCAGGGGCGGGGGCAGGAGUCGCCGACUCUGGGGGUGCUCCGAGCUCGUGCUGCGGUCCCACUGUGCGCCCUGUCGCCGCCACCGCGGAAAACGUCUUGCACGUGCGAGGGGCAUUUCAGGAGUUUCCUGUCUGUCAGACAGGGUCUCACUUUGUUGCCCAGGCUGGAGUGCAAUGGCACAAUCAUGGCUCACUGCGCCCUCCACCUCCCAGGCUCAAGCCAUCCUCCUAUCUCAGCCUCCUGAGUAGUUGAGACAACAGGCAUGUGCCACCAUGUCUGGCUAAUAUUUUAAUAAAAUUUUUUGUAGAGACAGGUUCUCCAUAUGUUGCCCAGGCUUUGAUUCUUCUAAUGCUCGGUAUUAAGACUCUAUGACUGUGUAUUAUACAUAGAGUUUACAUGUGAGUAAGUUCUGGGUGGAGAGACACUAUUCCUUGCUAGGGCCUUAAGAGUCUGGCUGCAGCUCUGCUAUCACAUGGGCAAAACCAGCUACAUAAUUUACAAGAUCCAGUGCAAAAUAAAAAUGUGACAUUUCUUGUUAAAAAUCAUUGUGAAUUUCAAGAUGGCAACAACAAAGCAUUAAACCAAGCAGGGGGCCUUUCUAAGCUUGAGCCCCCGUGUGACUGCACAGGUCAUAUGCCCAUGAAGCUGGCUCUGCAGAGACUAGCUGACCGUUGGACUGGCUGUGUCCUGGAUUCUUUUAGUUAAUGCAUUCCGUGUUCUGACAAUGGACAUUCCUGUCUCAGCCUCCACAUUGGAUCUGGUCCCCUGAUUCUGCACCCAACAUUCCUCAGCCACAUUCCCUGCUCCAAAGCCAGAGCUCUAUGUAUUCCAGCACAAGCAAAGUCCCAGGGUCCAUGCCUGCCAGUCAGCAUUGCUCUGGAGGCACCCACAAAGAUGGCAAAGAUGGGGGGUGAAGGGGGUAUUGGACAAUGAUAUUCCUGUGCCUCGAGUGGAAAGUCUCUCAGGAGAUAAGAGAGGACUGAAGUACCAACCAAGAAACCCGGGUUUCAUUCCCAGCUCUGCCACUAAAUUUACUGUGUCCUUAAUUGGCAAGUUGCUUAACAUCUUGGCACUGUUAUCUCUUUAUCUGUUAAAGGAGAGAGUUUGAUUAGAUUGUCUUUAAGACCAUUCCCACUUCCAGCUCUAAAAGUCUGUAUUUAAGUGACUCUAAGAGACUGUAAUAAUAAUAGAUAACAUUUGUUGACCAUUACCUUAUGCCAUUUACAUGUUGAUUUAAUGCUCAUAACAACCGUAUGAGGCAGGCACUGUUAUUCCCAUUUUACAGUUGAGAAAAUUGAGACUCAGUUUAAAACAUGCAUGGGGAACAAGGUAGCUUUUUGGGGUGGUGGAAAUGUUCUAAAACUUGGUUCUGGUCAUGGCUGCAGAACUCUGUAGAUUUAGAGUUGUAUAUUUCGAGUGGGUGAAUUUUAUAAUAUGUAAAUUGUACCUCAAUAAAGCUGUUGAAAAGAAAUAAAGAAAUGUGCUGAACUAGUACAUGA